rnacentral:lncRNA from 1 species
AAAUACCACUUCAAGGAAUGAAUGUAAUACUGGAGUAGGAAGAAUAGCACAUCAAGUGCUGGGGAAACAAAUGGUUAAAGAUCAAAUAAGAAUAGUAUCUUGGAUUUAAGAAGGAGACAAACUUUGAAUCAAAGAGAAAGGUAGGCAUUUACCAAUAUGUGGACUAGCAUGCCACCACUAUAAGGUAAAGCCAGAAAGAAAACUGAAUUAAGUGUUUGAGGUUGUAGCCCAAACAACUUUCAAUUGAGGAGAUGGAUUGUCG